rnacentral:misc_RNA from 1 species
AACGCACAUUGCGCCCUCUGGUAUUCCGGAGGGCAUGCCUGUUCGAGCGUCAUUAUCACCAAUCCAGCCUGGCUGGGUGUUGAGCGCCGCGGUCCGCCGCCCGCUCCAAUGUCGCCGGCCGCGCCGUCCGUCCCCUCGCGUUGUGGCAAACAGUCUCGCGUCGGUGGCCGGAAGGGGUGUGCCGUGAAGCCUUUAUCUUCAGGUUGACCUCGGAUCAGGUAGGGAUACCCGCUGAACUUAA